AUUUGCUGGACUGUUAGCCAAAUGAAUAUUUAGGAGAUUGCCUAUGUGUUUCUGUAUACAUGUGCACAAAUCUUGACUCUCUGGUCUGAGGAAAGAGAGGAAGGAAGACAAGUGUAGGACCACCGACCUCAAAACAGAAGACUGUGUCCUUCUUUCACUGUGACUGAUGAGACACGGACAAAGUUGGGGGAUCGAACAAGGACUGUUCACCAAGGAAGAUGAAGGACAUAAAGGAAUUCCACAUGAGUGGUUUAUGAUGUUGGUGAAAUAUUCUCUGCAAUACCCCAAAAUGUCAUCUUAAAACCAACUGAUGUUGAUCAGUGAAUUUGCUUCUUCAAUGACCUCUAUGGACAGAAGAGGCUGAGGCAUGUGAACAAGGAGUGCUCAAGAUUCUUGGGAUCUGUAAGGUGCUUUGUGAACACAUGAGGCUGCUCAUCUGUAGCUCUAAGAUGGUAGUUGACAUUGGUGGUGGGAAGAUUUCAACUUUUCUUCCAUUUAAGAAGAUUUAAAUAAAGGUACGUGGAACACUGGUUAAUAGUGUAUACAACAAGUCUUAGAAUGAGAUUUUGGAAAAUUCCAUACCCUGCAUUUUGUUUU